rnacentral:rRNA from 1 species
CCUACGGGUGGCUGCAGUGGGGAAUAUUGGACAAUGGGCGAAAGCCUGAUCCAGCCAUGUCGCGUGUGUGAAGAAGGCCUUCGGGUUGUAAAGCACUUUCAGUGGGGAAGAAAGCCUUGGGGCUAAUACCCUCGAGGAAGGACAUCACCCACAGAAGAAGCACCGGCUAACUCCGUGCCAGCAGCCGCGGUAAUACGGAGGGUGCGAGCGUUAAUCGGAAUUACUGGGCGUAAAGCGCGCGUAGGCGGUCUGAUAAGCCGGUUGUGAAAGCCCCGGGCUCAACCUGGGAACGGCAUCCGGAACUGUCAGGCUAGAGUGCAGGAGAGGAAGGUAGAAUUCCCGGUGUAGCGGUGAAAUGCGUAGAGAUCGGGAGGAAUACCAGUGGCGAAGGCGGCCUUCUGGACUGACACUGACGCUGAGGUGCGAAAGCGUGGGUAGCAAACAGGAUUAGAUACCCCAGUAGUC